GACGUAGGGCGCGAGCGUUGUCCGGAUUUAUUGGGCGUAAAGAGCUCGUAGGCGGUUUGUCGCGUCGUCCGUGAAAACUCACAGCUUAACUGUGAGCUUGCGGUCGAUACGGGCAGGCUAGAGUUCGGUAGGGGAGACUGGAAUUCCUGGUGUAGCGGUGAAAUGCGCAGAUAUCAGGAAGAACACCGGUGGCGAAGGCGGAUCUCUGGGCCAAUACUGACGCUGAGGAGCGAAAGCGUGGGGAGCAAACAGG
rnacentral:rRNA from 1 species